rnacentral:sRNA from 1 species
GGCCUCCCCUCAUUAAGAGUGGUUACUGCGUGAAGCAAGGGAAUGUGCGGAAGAGCUGGAAACGUCGCUUCUUUGCACUUGAUGACUUUACCAUCUGCUACUUCAAGUGUGAGCAGGACCGAGAACCACUGCGCACUAUAUUUCUUAAGGAUGUUCUCAAGACCCAUGAAUGUCUGGUCAAGUCUGGUGAUCUCUUAAUGAGGGACAACCUGUUUGAAAUAAUAACAAGCUCCAGGACCUUCUACGUACAGGUACAGUGUACAAUCUGAAGCCAUAUCAAGAAAUUUUUAUACUCUUACAUUAAAAUCCGUUGGUCAAUUUUGCACUUUGAAUAGAUA